ACCUACUUUGUUGACCGCAGUACCUCUUCCAUUCUCUUGCAGGCAGGCAGGCAAGCAGGCAACUCACACAGGUUUUUUUUUUAAGUACCUACUUUGGUUACCUGCAGUACCUCUUCCACUCUCUUGCAGGCAGGCAGGCAAUUCACACAGGUCUUUAUUUUUUUUGUACAGAUGCCCAGCUAUGCCAGUGCAUCAAAAGCCAGAGAACCAGAGAUGGCAAGCUGUCUACUAGGGGGACCAGGACAGGGUCUGGUGGCAGAAAAUUACCCCAGAGGCAGCAGUGGAUCUUGGACAAAUGGUCCUUCAUCAACUCACUUAUUGUGAGAGUGGAGAGUAGAAAGAGCACCAAGAAGUUUAACAUGAGUAAGCCACUGCCCAGUAUGUCCUGUGAAGAGGUGGUUGAUCCACUUGAGGGAACCUCUGCACCAACCCCCACCGCCAGUCAGCAGCUCAGCAGGAGGAGGAGCAUGGCACGUGCCAGCCUCACUGCCGCCUCCACCCCAAAUACAAUUGAUGUAGAUGACAGAGGCAGAUCGGCAUGAGCUGAUCAAGACGCUCAUGCAACAGGCAAACGACGGCAGGUAUUGCAGACGGGAUAUUUCCUGCACCCAGACACCACAUGAGGAAUGUGUUGACGGCUUACAUGCAUCUUUAAGGCCUUUGAUGCUCCAUAUACCGGCAGACACGUGGCUCAAUUUCUCCAUUGCUGUUCUGGAGCUGAUAAAAGACUUCUCCAAGCAAGUUUAUGUCAUUUGAUUUUUGUGUCAUUUUGGCAACGUUUGACUUCAAUAUUUGGCCUUAAAAUGUAUGUUUUUAAAUAAAAUAAUCACAAUGUUUGUUGCAGACUCAGCAGCCGAUGGUACACAUGGGACAACACCAGAUGGUACCACAAUAGAUGUCUCUGAUGGCACAACCACAUCUGCAGGCUCACCAGAUACAGUCUGUGGUGGCACGACCAUACACAGGUACUUCCUGAGAAGAUACUGUUGAUUCGGUAUGUCAAAGAGGAUUCUCUUGAACAUCUACAGGUGUACAGUAGAGAGCA